rnacentral:rRNA from 1 species
UACGUAGGGGGCUAGCGUUGUCCGGAAUCAUUGGGCGUAAAGAGCGUGUAGGCGGUCUCGUAAGCUGGGUGUGAAAGCCCCGGGCUUAACCUGGGAAUGGCAUUCAGGACUGCGAGGCUUUGAGUGUGGCAGAGGGAGGUGGAAUUCCACGUGUAGCAGUGAAAUGCGUAGAGAUGUGGAGGAACACCGAUGGCGAAGGCAGCCUCCUGGGCCAGCACUGACGCUCAUGCACGAAAGCGUGGGUAGCGAACAGG